rnacentral:rRNA from 1 species
CCUACGGGAGGCAGCAGUGAGGAAUAUUGGUCAAUGGACGAGAGUCUGAACCAGCCAAGUAGCGUGAAGGAUGACUGCCCUAUGGGUUGUAAACUUCUUUUAUAUGGGAAUAAAACGUUCCACGUGUGGGAUUUUGUAUGUACACUAUGAAUAAGGAUCGGCUAACACCGUGCCAGCAGCCGCGGUAAUCCGGUGGAUCCGAGCGUUAGCCGGAUUUUUUGGGUUUAAAGGGAGCGUAGGUGGAUUGUUAAGUCAGUUGUGAAAGUUUGCGGCUCAACCGUAAACGUGCAGUUUAAACUGGCAGGCUUGAGGACAGUAGAGGUGGGCGGAAUUCGUGGUGUAGCGGUGAAAUGCUUAGAUAUCACGAAGAACUCCGAUUGCGAAGGCAGUUCACUGGACUGCAACUGACACUGAGGCUCGAAAGUGUGGGUAUCAAACAGGAUUAGAGACCCUUGUAGUC